rnacentral:tRNA from 1 species
GCUCCCAUGGCGUAGUGGUCACUGCACUCGCCUUGCACGCGGGAGACCCGGGUUCGAUUGUCGGCGGGGUCA